CGCACCUUGCGCCCUUUGGUAUUCCGAAGGGCACACCUGUUUGAGUGUCGUGAAAUUCUCAACCCUCUUCAUUUUUUUGAUGAAGCUAGGGAUUGGACUUGGAGGUCUUGCCGGGCUCUACGCUCGGCUCCUCUCAAAUGCAUUAGUACGUCUUGUUGCGACGUGCGCCUCGGUGUGAUAAUUAUCUACGCUGUGGUGCGCUUGCUUCUGUGGAGACGCGCUUUCAAACCGUCCGAAAGGACAAGCUUUCAUCGAACUUUGACCUCAAAUCAGGUGGGACUACCCGCUGAACUUAA
rnacentral:misc_RNA from 1 species